UUGGGGUUGCGGACAUAUCAUAACGAAGAGGUAUCGUAAUUGAAGAGGUUUGGAAAGACCCACCACAGAAGGUAAUAGUCCUGUAUGUUAAACGAGAAGACUUUAGAUAUGAUCCAGAGUACCACGGGACACGUGAAACCCUGUGGGAAGCAGGAGGGACCACCCUCCAAGGCUAAAUACUACCUAGUGACCGAUAGCGUAUAGUACCGUGAGGGAAAGGUGAAAAGAACCCCGGGAGGGGAGUGAAAUAGAACCUGAAACCCUGCACUUACAAGCUGUGGAAGCACAUUUCUUGUGUGACCGCGUACUUUUUGUAGAACGGGCCAACGAGUUACGUUAAGUAGCAAGGUUAAGCACUUAAGGUGCGGAGCCGUAGCGAAAGCGAGUUUUAACUGAGCGUUCAGUUACUUGACGUAGACCCGAAACCGGGCGACCUACCCAUGAGCAGGAUGAAGCGAAAGUAAAAUUUCGUGGAGGUCCGAACCCACGAGCGUUGAAAAGCUCGGGGAUGACUUGUGGGUAGCGGUGAAAUUCCAAUCGAGCCCGGAGAUAGCUGGUUC
rnacentral:rRNA from 1 species